CUCCCUAACCUCGUCUCUUCAAAGACCAAACCCCAAAAACUAGUAGCCGCCUCAAAUUCCCACCACCAUCCAGUGGUGGCGCCACCUCCUCACACCUUCAAACUAACACCCCAUGACCCCCUCUCGACCCUCUUUCAAAAUCCCCACUCCGUUUCCCUCGAACUUGGCCAAAACUCUUCGAAUUUCAAAUCAAGGGUUCGAGCCCUAGAGGCCAUAGCCGAGUUCAUUCAUGCAGGGAUACCCCUCAAAGCUUCCUUAGUGCUCAGGUUUGGUUUGGUCCUAGAACAGUGUUUUUUGCUUGUUCCUCACAAGGAACAAGCAAAUGACACUAUUUGAGGACUAAAUCAGAAAGUUAAUAGCGAGUUCGAGCAUAGAUUGGUGAGUUUCUUAUUUCUCUUUACCCGUUCUUGUGUUUCUUCAGUCUUCCUUCCUCCUCAUUUCUUCUAUUCCUCUCUAGUUAAUUGAAUUGAAACGUCAACAAAAUUUUAGCCAAAAUAGAGUAUUGUUCGUUUGUUGCUUUUUCAGUUUUGCUUUACAAAAGUUUUAUUUUAUGAUUUUUCUUUGUCUAUUUGGUUUGGGUCAAUAGUAUGUUCAACUUCUGAUUUCACUCUUUUGUUUUAGCCACCUAGUUUAAUUUAAUUAGUUUGUUUUGAUUUGAUAGCUUAGCUAAUUCCCUAUAUGUGUGUUAAUAAAUAUUUAAUUUAGUUUAGAUUUUUCAUUUGUGAAAAUCAUUUCUACUUGUGUUAUUCUCUUUUUCAGAGGUUUAUAAAUUUUAGUGGGGUUAUUUUAUUGUUUGGGCUUUAAGUUUUGGCUGACCCAUUUUGCAAAGUGCGGCAUGUUCAAAUUGGUCUAAACAUUGGGUCAAAUUGACCCAUGUGAAAUUCUGAAGUAAUUUUCAGAGGUUAAAAGGGUAAUUUGGAUAAUUAAUCUUAGGGAAUCUUAUAUAACUAACCUAGGAAACUUCUAGGAAGCUGGGAAGGGGACCUUUCUGAAUUUCUGAUUUUUAAACUAAGGUUUCCAAAGCAAAAACCAAAAUUAGAAAAUGGGCAAGGUGCAAAACUGAUACUUUGAAGCUGCCCUAAAUGUCUUGCCUAUAAAGGCCCUCCAACUUGGCAUUCAAGGUAGAGAUUAGAGAUGAAAUUCUGAAAAAGAAAAAGUACUAAAAACUUAAAGAAAAAUACUAAUUUUCCCUGCAUUCUCUUUGUGAAAAAUUGUCCAAAAAUCAUGUUCAGUGUUGAUCUUCUGGUCCUCUUCACUAAUCAGAAAUCUCUGAAAAUCUGAAUUCUGUAUUUGUUUGGAUAUGACUUGAAUCUGAUGGAAACUGGUCGAGUCUUCUUUUAGUUCUAUGAUCUGAAAAUUACAGAGGAUUUUUGGGAAUAUUUUUGGUUUAAAAACCGGUGUUCAAGUCUGUUGAUUACUAGUUUGUUGAAUUAAGUCGUUGUUGUUUCUUAUCUUUAAGUCUCAACUCAUUUUUCCAUUGUUAUUGCUUUAACCAGGUACCCACACUUGAGCCCUACAGAAUGUGAACUCAUAUUUGAUGCAUGAAGUGAAAGAUGGAAUUUAGAGCACGAUUUAAAUUAAUUUUUCGUAGUUCAUGUGUAUAGCAUUAUGUUCUGAUUCAAAUAAUCUCCUAACUGAUAUUUGGCUUAUGAUAAUUGAAGUUCAUCUUUCUGUGUGAUUUAAGAAUUGUUUAAUAUUGCUAUAGUAGAAAGGUGUAGGUGAGUUAUGGAUGUUAGAAUGGUAUGUAAGUUAUGCUGGAAACAAUGAAGAGAAGAUUGCUUUCAUGUUAGUUAGGUCUUGAAAAAUUGGCAUGCUAUUUCUGCAAGUUGGUCAUUCUUAGGUUGUUUGCUAAAAGGACUUGAGAAGUUUGUCGUUGCAACUGAGAUAGAAAUCAUGUGUAGUUGUUAAAUUUAACAAAACUGGAUUUGUUUAAUCCAGGUGAGUCUGUUGAGAAUUAAUGCUUUAGUUUCUUUUUGGUAGUUCUGGUUUGAGUUCUGCUAAAGAUUAGUUCUGUUUUAACAGUGAUUCCCACUUAGAUUUGUAAAAAUGUUGAACGAUAAUUUGUAAAUUCA
rnacentral:lncRNA from 1 species